rnacentral:rRNA from 1 species
GACAGAGGUCCCGAGCGUUAGGCGGAAUCACUGGGCUUAAAGCGUGUGUAGGCGGAUCGUUAAGUGCCUUGUGAAAUCCCAUGGCUUAACCAUGGAACUGCUUGGCAUACUGGCGGUCUUGAGCCACUUAGGGGCAACCGGAACAAAUGGUGGAGCGGUGAAAUGCGUAGAUAUCAGGAGGAACACCAAUGGCGAAGGCAGCUCGCUGGGACGGUACUGACGCUGAGGCGCGAAAGCGUGGGGAGCAAACAGG